CAGCAGCCACGGGAAUACGUAGGUGGCGAGCGUUGUCCGGAAUCAUUGGGCAUAAAGGGAGCGCAGGCGGGCAUGUAAGUCUUUCUUAAAAGUGCGGGGCUCAACCCCGUGAUGGGAAAGAAACUACAUGUCUUGAGUACAGGAGAGGAAAGCGGAAUUCCCAGUGUAGCGGUGAAAUGCGUAGAUAUUGGGAGGAACACCAGUGGCGAAGGCGGCUUUCUGGACUGCAACUGACGCUGAGGCUCGAAAGCCAGGGGAGCGAACGGGAUUAGAUACCCCUGUAGUCCCUGUCUCUUAUACC
rnacentral:rRNA from 1 species